rnacentral:rRNA from 1 species
CCCCAGGUCAGGCGGGACUACCCGCUGAGUUUAAGCAUAUCAAUAAGCGGAGGAAAAGAAACUUACGAGGAUUCCCCUAGUAACGGCGAGCGAACCGGGAACAGCCCAGCUUGAAAAUCGGGCGGGU